AGUAACACGUAGGCAACCUGCCCUGAAGCGGGGGAUAACAUCUGGAAACAGGUGCUAAUACCGCAUAACAACGAAAACCACAUGGUUUUCGUUUCAAAGAUGGUUUCGGCUAUCACUUCAGGAUGGGCCCGCGGUGCAUUAGCUAGUUGGUAAGGUAACGGCUUACCAAGGCGAUGAUGCAUAGCCGAGUUGAGAGACUGAUCGGCCACAAUGGAACUGAGACACGGUCCAUACUCCUACGGGAGGCAGCAGCA
rnacentral:rRNA from 1 species